CACUCGACGUCAACCGGAGAACGCGCCAUCGCCAAUGGCCGCCGACGGUAACUACCCAGCCCUCGUUCGAUCCGUACGAAACCCUAAUUUGAUCUUUUUCCCGCUUCAAAUAUCUGUUUUCGUAUUCCUUCGUCUCUCUAAAUCUCUCCCUCGAAUUCGACACCGGAGACAGAAACCGGCUGAUGAUGAAAGAGAAUACCUCCUCAUCCAAGGCGAGUUCAAUCGGUUGAUAUUAUGGGACCCUAAUCGUUGUUCUCUUUCUUCCUGAUUCUUGAUUUUGCUUGUCAAUCGGGCUCUUCAUAUGUUGGAAGAGGAAGACUUCCAUGACUAUGGCAGUGAUUUCCACGAGGAUUCCCAAUGAGUUCUUGUUUGGGUAAGGCGAGAGGGAGAUUAAGAAGAUGGAUUUUACCCAGCCGGAGCUGAAGUCGGAUCACGUGAACAGGCCGCUUUGGGCCUGUGCCGAUGACCGUAUCUUUUUGCAAACCUUCUUCCCUCUCUACAAGCGAGCCUACGGUUACCUCGUUGCCGUCACAGAGCCUGUCUGCAGGCAUUGUGGCAUGAAUAUAAUUUGACGCCGCACACACUGUGUGCUGCGGUUUCAGUUGGUCUGAAAAUUGAGACCAUCAUCAGUGUUCCGAGCAAGCUGUUAGAAAACGAAGUUGCCACCUGGGGUAAUUGGCUCUUCGUCCAUCAGUCGACCGCCAACUAUGGCAAAGUUAAGCUCGUUCUGAAAAAGACUUGGAAUUUCGUUGAGCCACCAUUUCCAGAGGUAUUGAAGCAAUUGCUUAAGGUGAUGUCAUAUCAAAGGCACGGAUUAACUCUGAGGACGAUUCUCAUGAUGCUGAUACAUUCACAAUUAGCAAAUCUGUGUAUGAAAUACGAGGUGGUCAUGAGGACUUACUGAAUGGGGCUAUGUUAGCUGCUGCAGCUGAAGAGAAAGAAACUCAUUUGAAAUAGAACCUUCCCAGCUGCAAUAGAAAAUCUCAUGCCACAAUAUCUGAAUUCGCAGGUAGAAAAUGUCAAGCAACAUUGCUUGCUUAAUGGACUAAACUAUCCUAUCCUCCAGCGGUAUGAUUUUUGCAAUGAUACCGCUAGUCAUUUAUGUGUUUAAAACUUGAUUGAGCUUUUUAAGUAUUAAAAUUGACUUCCAGUGAGUCAUUUUUCUGUCCAAAAAUUGAUUGAGCAAUUUUAAACUAUUCUAUGCUCGAGUAGUAUGAUUUUCAAAAUGAUACAGUGAGUCAUUGUCUGUUUAGAACUUGAUUGAGCUUUUUAAGUAUGAAAUUGACUUCCAGCGAGUCAUAUUUCUGUUUAAAAGUUGAUUGAGAAUUUUAGUUAUUAAAUUGAAGUUCUGAAAUGUUACAGUCAAAAUUUUCAUUUUCAUUUUCUGGUUAGACCUUGAUUAAGAGAGUUGUGCAAACACUCUUGUAGUGUCAUAAUAGCUUGGUUUAGAAGUUCUUGGCAUGGAAUUUAGUUUUCUUCUUCUUUACUGCCCGGCUUCUCUAAAUAUGGUAUUCCUUUACAAAAGUCUAGCAGACCAUCAUGACAUACCUAUGUGUUUGCCUAGGUGAUGCAGCAAAGUUCAGUAAUUUAUUCAAAUACUAAAAAAUGGUCUAAAGGCAUACAUGAAAACUCUUUUUUCCAGAAAUGCAUGACAUCCACGUCGGGUCUUGCAGUUUUGGCUUCUAGCAGUAGUUUGUUGCAUAGUUGAUAAAAGCAGGGUCAAAUAAUUAUGAUGCUGCAUUAGGAACAGAUGCUAUUGGUUACAUCUUCAUUUCUUGCUUUAGUUAAUUAUAAGAACAAGAAGUAAGAUAAGAAU